rnacentral:rRNA from 1 species
AACGGCCGUACCAUGCUGAAUAUACCGAUUCUCGUUAGAUCACCGAAGUCAAGCAUCAUUGGGCGCGGUCAGUACUUGGGUGGGUGCCCACCUGGGAACACUGCGUGCCGUU